AAGCAGGAUAAGUUGGUGUGGCUUGUGCAGUGCUGUUCUGUCGUUCCCCCUUCCACACAGAAACAUGUCUCCUACUAUCCUUGUCUGACUGCAUUCAAUGCCAGGCAGGGACGCUUGGUCUGACACUU
rnacentral:snoRNA from 1 species